GCGGCAGGCCUAACACAUGCAAGUCGAGCGGAAACGAGAAGUAGCUUGCUACUUCGGCGUCGAGCGGCGGACGGGUGAGUAAUGCCUAGGAAAUUGCCCUGAUGUGGGGGAUAACUAUUGGAAACGAUAGCUAAUACCGCAUAAUGCCUUCGGGCCAAAGAGGGGGACCUUCGGGCCUCUCGCGUCAGGAUAUGCCUAGGUGGGAUUAGCUAGUUGGUGAGGUAAUGGCUCACCAAGGCGACGAUCCCUAGCUGGUCUGAGAGGAUGAUCAGCCACACUGGAACUGAGACACGGUCCAGACUCCUACGGGAGGCAGCAGUGGGGAAUAUUGCACAAUGGGCGCAAGCCUGAUGCAGCCAUGCCGCGUGUAUGAAGAAGGCCUUCGGGUUGUAAAGUACUUUCAGCAGUGAGGAAGGGGUGUACGUUAAUAGC
rnacentral:rRNA from 1 species